AAAAAAUUGAUAUCUCGAUUAUUUGUAAACCUAACCCAAGAAAAUAUUGGACCUGUAUGUUCAUCUCGAUCCCUUCUACCUUUUUACGAGUGGUGGUCCACAUGCGUUGGGACACCCUGUAUAUGUAGAUGGGUCAGUACAGAUGAGUGCAUUUGUUGAAACAUUAAAAAAAUUUUACACAGUCCUAGCAAUACAACAAAUACUUUUAGACUCAAUUUUUGUCGGAUGCAAGAGGAAAAUAUAGAUUUCAAUUUGCCAAUCUGGAAUAUUAACCGGUUACAGGAAUUUAAUAAAAAACUCAGUGAAUGUUCUACUCGAUUGCAAUAUCGACUCUUGUUGCUAAUAGAAAUAUUUCUAUCGCCGAUGUCCAGAAAGUUAAAUCAUCAAAUUAUGGUUGUAACACGCAAGCAAUGGUAUUGAUCAACGAAGAAAAGAAGAAAAUAAGCCACUGUUAUGUAGGAUAUAAUUAAGAAAAAAACUUAAUGUCGAAAACUCAAGUCAAUUAUCUAAAUUUCAGCUAGAAUGUUCCUUUUGUGUUAUUGGUUAUAUGAUAUUGCGCAUUUUUAUGCUCUGGUGAAAAUGUAAAAUCGGAGCGUAAGUCGAAUGUAAAUUAAGGGAGAGUAAUAGAAGCGUUAACAAACCUUCUAUUACUCUCCCUUUACAUUCGACUUACGCUCCGGUUUUACAUUUUCACCAGGGUGAUUUGCGACAACAUAUAUGCAUCUCGUUUGUUUCGGUAAAGAUUAGGAAUAAGUACUUAGCGUAAUAAAGUAAUAAAAAAAUAAAUAAAAAGAGAAAUUUGACAAUGCCAUAAAUUAAAAAAAAUUAAUUAAUAUAUUAUAAUAUAUAUUUUUAAAUUUUUUGAUACGUAUGUCCGUAUUUAUACGUUACACAUUUUCUUAAUUUGCUGUAUGUAUAAGCGGUAAAAAGCAAUAUGAAUUUCCGUACGGAAUACAGACAGCUUUUGUACAAACGUCAUCAAAAUUAAAAGUUUGUACAUUUGACCACUUAUUUCCUACAACAAUGUUAAAAUGUAAUGAACUUAUAGGAUAAUGUUCAAGUUCAACUGCAUUUAAUAAAGUUUUUCCUUUUAAAA